UUCAAAUGAUGACAGCCACUCGUCAAAGGAUCUGAAACUGCUUGAGUGAGCAACAAAAAUGGAUAACGUAACGCAGCUAAUAUAACGAUCACUAAUCUAAACACUUCCGAGAGGCUACUGGGCCUCUCAACUCGCCGCGAGAAAGAGGAAUCUAUGAUUUAGAUAUCAGCGUACGCAGUAGUCUAAUAUGCUUAAAUUCAGCGCAGCCAUGAAGUAGUAUGCCACGUUGUGACCAUUGUGUUAGAUCCGACUUUUCCUCUUUUACGAUCCCUUCUGGACAUAUCUGAAGUUGGAAAAAAUGAAAAGAAAACUCAACUGAGGGAGCCAAAAUGGUCAACAUGGGUUGUAAACCUAAUUUCUUUGUCUGUUGAAAACUAAAGUAACUAACUUCAGGAGCUUGAAUUGUCAGGACAGUAUUAAAAAUUAAUGGAUUUGACGUGAGGAUUUAUGCAAGGGAUAACAUCAGCCAAGGUAUGCAGAAAUAAUGGAGAAGACAGACACAAAGACCUCCCCGAUGCGAAAAGAGUUUUCUCCACCAAGUUAAUAAAUUCUGUA